rnacentral:tRNA from 2 species
UACGUUUUAGUAUACGAGGUACAGAAAUUUUUGAUUUUUCAGGAGCUAGUUUAAAUCUAGUAGAUGUAA